CCUACGGGAGACAGCAGUAGGGAAUAUUGCUCAAUGGGGGAAACCCUGAAGCAGCAACGCCGCGUGGAGGAUGAAGGUUUUAGGAUUGUAAAACCCUUUUGUUAGAGAAGAAAAUGAAGGUAUGUAACGCAUAAGGACUGGAUAAUUUCGUGCCAGAAGGCGUGGUAAUACGGAGGGAGCAAGGGUUAUACGGAAUCACUGGGCGUAAAGGGCGCGUAGGCGGGUUAUCAAGUCAGAUGUGAAAUCCUUAGGCUUAACCUUAGAACUGCAUUUGAAACUGUUAUUCUAGAGUAUGGGAGAGGUAGGUGGAAUUCUUGGUGUAGCGGUGAAAUCCGUAGAGAUCAAGAAGAAUACUCAUUGCGAAGGCGGCCUGCUAGAACAUAACUGACGCUGAUGCGCGAAAGCGUGGGGAGCAAACAGGAUUAGAUACCCUUGUAGUC
rnacentral:rRNA from 1 species